rnacentral:rRNA from 1 species
UACGGAGUUACAAAGGACGACAUUAGACGAAUCAUCUGGAAAGAUGAAUCAAAGAAGGUAAUAAUCCUGUAGUCGAAAAUGUUGUCUCUCUUGAGUGGAUCCUGAGUACGACGGAGCACGUGAAAUUCCGUCGGAAUCUGGGAGGACCAUCUCCUAAGGCUAAAUACUCUCUAGUGACCGAUAGUGAACCAGUACCGUGAGGGAAAGGUGAAAAGCACCCCGGAAGGGGAGUGAAAUAGAACCUGAAACCGUGUGCUUACAAGUAGUCAGAGCCCGUUA